AUUGAACGCUGGCGGCAGGCCUAACACAUGCAAGUCGAACGGUAACAGAAAGCAGCUUGCUGCUUUGCUGACGAGCGGCGGACGGGUGAGUAAUGUCUGGGAAACUGCCUGAUGGAGGGGGAUAACUACUGGAAACGGUAGCUAAUACCGCAUAACGUCGCAAGACCAAAGAGGGGGACCUUCGGGCCUCUUGCCAUCGGAUGUGCCCAGAUGGGAUUAGCUAGUAGGUGGGGUAACGGCUCACCUAGGCGACGAUCCCUAGCUGGUCUGAGAGGAUGACCAGCCACACUGGAACUGAGACACGGUCCAGACUCCUACGGGAGGCAGCAGUGGGGAAUAUUGCACAAUGGGCGCAAGCCUGAUGCAGCCAUGCCGCGUGUAUGAAGAAGGCCUUCGGGUUGUAAAGUACUUUCAGCGGGGAGGAAGGGAGUAAAGUUAAUACCUUGGCUCAUUGACGUUACCCGCAGAAGAAGCACCGGCUAACUCCGUG
rnacentral:rRNA from 1 species